AUGACUCGUGAGACCUAGUAACCUAGGCUUUGAUACCAACUUGUCACAACCCUGUUCCCAAAUCCGGUCGUGAUGGCGCUUCUCGUGAAGACAAGGCCAGCCACACCGUUUCCAUUACACCACGUAAAGCUAUAAUCCAUUGUAGCAGAUCGAAUCUAAAUUUAUGACAUUAAUUAAUAUGAAUACUGCUACACCCCAACCGAGGUGUCACAAGUCACUAGCAUCUAAAGAAUAGGGACACUACUACUACUGGACCAACAAUGUAUAAAUAUACAAGGCAAAAUCGGGAUACAAUGAUGGAGUGCGGUGCCGCGAAUAUUGGCGGUCACCUUGCUCAACCACCAGAAUAUGAUCUUCGAUCCUGCUAAUGACCUGCUAUCGGGUAAACAUUACCUGCAACUGUACACAAGGUUGAGUGAGUAAAGUGAAUACUUCCAACUCAGUGGUAAUAAGAGAGAAUAAUAUCUGAGCGAUAAGAAAACACGUAUGAGCACACCAAACUGCUAUACAAGAUAGAACAACCCUUUUUGAGAAAAAUCGAAAUACUGUGUAAAAACUCCCUUUAGAAAAUCCAAGUUCUGUUUAAAAAUCUCUUUUGAAAAUAUGAUUUUUCAACAAUUUCAAGGGUAAUUUCAAUACGUAGGAAAUAAUAAGAAACCUGCCCCUCGGGCUGAAUAUCAACUCACAAUAUCUAACAUCAGCCUCUCGGGCUCAGCACUCCUUAACAUAUAACACCAGGGUAUCUGGUAAAAAAGGCAAGUAACUGUAUGUAUGCCAACGAUAUAUGAGUGUUAAAUGUCAUGUCAUGUAGUCCAAAGAGGAGUAAAUGCAUGAAUGCAAUCCAAUGCAAUGCACAUGAAUAUGCUGCAGCGUGCAGCCCGAGCCAACCAUGCAUAUGAUUUAACAUCGACGGCGCUCACUAUGGGGGUUCAGACUCCGGAGGGGCUUCUUCAGCCCAAGUGCAAUAUCAUACAGUGCCAAUAGUUACCACUGUUUACAUUACAAUACACGGUGCCAAUAGUUGCCACCAUUUACAUUUUAAUACACGAUGCUAAUAGUUACCGCCGUUCCAAGAAAUAGUAUAUAGUCCAAAAAAAUAGUGAGAUAAUGAUCGUCAGCCCGAAAUAUCAUUUAAGAAUCUUUUGUGUUUUCAAAACAUAGAAUUAUGGCUGAGUUUACAAAAUUAGUAUUAAAAACCCUGGACUGAAUUCAAAUAGUAUGCAAAUCAUGCAAACGCUGAAAUAUCAAUCUCCAAAGGAUUCAACAAGUCGGCCCAAGGCCCAAACAUGGAAUCAAUCCCAGAUAACAUCAAUAUAGGGUGUGAAGCACUCGCCAAUAUAGUAUAAAUCCCUCGGAUUGAAUCGAGUCACAAUUUCCCACAUAUAUGACCCUGCACUAGCCAUGGAGUUCGUGGCUCGCCUCAUAUAGUGUCACAAUGUGAUGUACCUGGGUUCCAAAUAAUCGGAAAUAAGCCCCAAGUAUGGAAAUGAGCCCAAGUCAUAAUAAUAACAACAAAACAUUUACAAUAUAGCGGUAAACCAACAACCGGGAUGGACCAAGUCACGAUCCCCAACAGUGCUCUACCCCACGCUCAGGUCCAGCGUGCAAGAGGGUGUGCAAAUCUGGGGUUUCAAACCCUCAGGAUAUCAUUCCCAAAUAUUACUCACCUCGAACCGGCAAAAUCUCUAGCCCGCGAUGCCAUUGCUCCUCAAAUCAGCCUCCACACAAUCGAAUCUCAAAAUGAGCUUUCCCAAAAAUAAAACGAGCUACUAUCAAUCGGAACUACAAGCGGAACCUCGAACCCGAACAUAUGGAGUAAAAGACAUUCUCGUCUUCUGGAACUAAAACCUCGCGCUAAGAAUAUGUCCACCCCUUGAUGCUAUGCAAUCUGAUAGCUUGCUACGAUUCCUACUUCAUCCUCACGAGAGAAUAUUUCCAAAGUUAACAAAGAAGCUUUUAGACAAUCCUAUUUCUUGCCGCCAACCAAAUCAGAAACCACACCGACGAUCUCGAACGGAAUUUAUCGACCUAAAAAAACUUCACCGGAUAAACUGGAACCUCUUGAACCCAACUCGAAAUUCUAGCUAAACUCAAUACUCCAUAAUCUGCUAGUUUCGAAGAUUAUAUAUGGAUCGGGGAUGGUCUCCUUCUUAGCUUUGUUAGUAAUUGAGCAGAUGAAGUUUUCCUUAUAAACUCUUAACGUUGUCAAAAGAUGCAAAGUUCAAUAAUUAAUUCUACAUUUUUCCCUUAUAUGUGUUGCCGCCGUAAAUCCUUUUUGUUUUCAGCCGCACUUGAUUUGUUGUCUUUUGGAUUUCCGUUCACAACUAGGAAGAUAGCCGAUUUGUUUUUUUUCUUUUUUUAAGAAAUCCGGGGUCUGCUUUUGGUGUUUUGCGGGUGUUCAAGGUUCUAGGUGUAGGAGUUGAGAUUCUUUUCUUCUUCCUUUUUUUUUUUCUCACUUAAAACUUUCUAAAAGAUGCCCCAGUUUGUACUCU
rnacentral:lncRNA from 1 species